rnacentral:misc_RNA from 1 species
GAAAUGCGAUAAGUAAUGUGAAUUGCAGAAUUCAGUGAAUCAUCGAAUCUUUGAACGCACCUUGCGCUCCUUGGUAUUCCUUGGAGCAUGCCUGUUUGAGUAUCAUGAAAUCUUCAAAGUAAAUCUUUUGUUAACUCAAUUGGUUUCUACUUUGGUAUUGGAGGUCUUUGCAGCUUCACACCUGCUCCUCUUUGUUCAUUAGCUGGAUCUCAGUGUUAUGCUUGGUUCCACUCGGCGUGAUAAGUUAUCUAUCGCUGAGGACACUGUAAAAGGUUGCCAAGGUAAAUUCAGAUGCACCGCUUCUAAUAGUCCAUUGACUUGGACAAUACUUUUAUGAUCUGAUCUCAAAUCAGGUAGGACUACCCGCUGAACUUAAGC